GACGAACGCUGGCGGCGUGCUUAACACAUGCCAGUCGAACGGAAAGGCCCUGCUUUGGUGGGGUGCUCGAGUGGCGAACGGGUGAGUAACACGUGAGUAACCUGCCCAUGACUUUGGGAUAACUUCAGGAAACUGGGGCUAAUACCGGAUAGGAGCUCCUGCUGCAGGGUGGGGGUUGGAAAGUUUCGGCGGUUGGGGAUGGACUCGCGGCUUAUCAGCUUGUUGGUGGGGUAGUGGCUUACCAAGGCUUUGACGGGUAGCCGGCCUGAGAGGGUGACCGGCCACAUUGGGACUGAGAUACGGCCCAGACUCCUACGGGAGGCAGCAGUGGGGAAUAUUGCACAAUGGGCGGAAGCCUGAUGCAGCAACGCCGCGUGCGGGAUGACGGCCUUCGGGUUGUAAACCGCUUUCGCCUGUGACGAAGCGUGAGUGACGGUAAUGGGUAAAGAAGCACCGGCUAACUACGUG
rnacentral:rRNA from 1 species